AACGAACGCUGGCGGCAGGCCUAAUACAUGCAAGUCGAACGCUCCGCAAGGAGAGUGGCAGACGGGUGAGUAACGCGUGGGAACCUUUCCAGUGGUACGGAAUAGCCCAGGGAAACUCGGGGUAAUACCGUAUAAGCCCUUACGGGGAAAGAUUUAUCGCCAUUGGGUGGGCCCGCGUCGGAUUAGCUAGUUGGUGGGGUAAUGGCCUACCAAGGCGACGAUCCGUAGCUGGUCUGAGAGGAUGAUCAGCCACACUGGGACUGAGACACGGCCCAGACUCCUACGGGAGGCAGCAGUAGGGAAUAUUGGACAAUGGGCGCAAGCCUGAUCCAGCCAUGCCGCGUGAGUGACGAAGGCCUUAGGGUUGUAAAGCUCUUUUGGCGGGAAGAUAAUGACGGUACCCGCAGAAUAAGCUCCGGCUAACUUCGUGCCAGCAGCCGCAGUAAU
rnacentral:rRNA from 1 species